rnacentral:rRNA from 1 species
UGGGGAAUAUUGCACAAUGGGCGAAAGCCUGAUGCAGCAACGCCGCGUGAAGGAUGAAGUAUUUCGGUAUGUAAACUUCUAUCAGCAGGGAAGAUAACGACGGUACCUGACUAAGAAGCCCCGGCUAACUACGUGCCAGCAGCCGCGGUAAUACGUAGGGGGCAAGCGUUAUCCGGAUUUACUGGGUGUAAAGGGAGCGUAGGCGGCAGCGCAAGUCAGAAGUGAAAGCCCGGGGCUUAACUCCGGGACUGCUUUUGAAACUGUGCGGCUAGAUUUCAGGAGAGGUAAGCGGAAUUCCUAGUGUAGCGGUGAAAUGCGUAGAGAUCGGGAGGAACACCAGUGGCGAAGGCGGCCUACUGGGCUUUAACUGACGCUGAGGCACGAAAGCAUGGGUAGCAAACAGGAUUAGAUACCC